rnacentral:rRNA from 1 species
UACGUAGGGUGCGAGCGUUGUCCGGAAUUAUUGGGCGUAAAGAGCUUGUAGGCGGUUUGUCGCGUCUGCUGUGAAAAUCCGGGGCUCAACCCCGGACUUGCAGUGGGUACGGGCAGACUAGAGUGUGGUAGGGGAGACUGGAAUUCCUGGUGUAGCGGUGAAAUACGCAGAUAUCAGGAGGAACACCGAUGGCGAAGGCAGGUCUCUGGGCCACUACUGACGCUGAGAAGCGAAAGCGUGGGGAGCGAACAGG